UACGGAGGGUGCGAGCGUUAAUCGGAAUUACUGGGCGUAAAGCGCACGUAGGCGGUCAUGUAAGUGGGAUGUGAAAUCCCCGGGCUUAACCUGGGACUUGCAUCUCAGACUGCAUGACUAGAGUAUGGGAGAGGGUGGUGGAAUUUCCGGUGUAGCGGUGAAAUGCGUAGAGAUCGGAAGGAACAUCAGUGGCGAAGGCGGCCACCUGGCCUAAUACUGACGCUGAGGUGCGAAAGCGUGGGGAUCAAACAGGAUUAGAUACCCUGGUAGUCCACGCUGUAAACGAUGAGAACUAGCCGUUGGAUUCCUUAGAGGAUUUAGUGGCGCAGCUAACGCGAUAAGUUCUCCGCCUGGGGAGUACGGCCGCAAGGUUAAA
rnacentral:rRNA from 1 species